rnacentral:rRNA from 1 species
GGGCGGUCGGGCCUAUGCGUGGAAGUCGAACGCUUCUUUUUCCACCGGAGCUUGCUCCACCGGAAAAAGAGGAGUGGGGAACGGGUGAGUAACACGUGGGUAACCUGCCCAUCAGAAGGGGAUAACACUUGGAAACAGGUGCUAAUACCGUAUAACAAUCAAAACCGCGUGGUUUUGAUUUGAAAGGCGCUUUCGGGUGUCGCUGAUGGAUGGACCCGCGGUGCAUUAGCUAGGUGGUGAGGUAACGGGUCACCAAGGCCACGAUGCAUAGCCGACCUGAGAGGGUGAUCGGCCACAUUGGGACUGAGACACGGCCCAAACUCCUACGGGAGGCAGCAGUAGGGAAUCUUCGGCAAUGGACGAAAGUCUGACCGAGCAACGCCGCGUGAGUGAAGAAGGUUUUCGGAUCGUAAAACUCUGUUGUUAGAGAAGAACAAGGAUGAGAGUAACUGUUCAUCCCUUGACGGUAUCUAACCAGAAAGCCACGGCUAACUACGUGCCAGCAGCCGCGGUAAUACGUAGGUGGCAAGCGUUGUCCGGAUUUAUUGGGCGUAAAGCGAGCGCAGGCGGUUUCUUAAGUCUGAUGUGAAAGCCCCCGGCUCAACCGGGGAGGGUCAUUGGAAACUGGGAGACUUGAGUGCAGAAGAGGAGAGUGGAAUUCCAUGUGUAGCGGUGAAAUGCGUAGAUAUAUGGAGGAACACCAGUGGCGAAGGCGGCUCUCUGGUCUGUAACUGACGCUGAGGCUCGAAAGCGUGGGGAGCAAACAGGAUUAGAUACCCUGGUAGUCCACGCCGUAAACGAUGAGUGCUAAGUGUUGGAGGGUUUCCGCCCUUCAGUGCUGCAGCUAACGCAUUAAGCACUCCGCCUGGGGAGUACGACCGCAAGGUUGAAACUCAAAGGAAUUGACGGGGGCCCGCACAAGCGGUGGAGCAUGUGGUUUAAUUCGAAGCAACGCGAAGAACCUUACCAGGUCUUGACAUCCUUUGACCACUCUAGAGAUAGAGCUUCCCCUUCGGGGGCAAAGUGACAGGUGGUGCAUGGUU